GUCGAGCGGUAACAGAAUGAUAGCUUGCUAUCAAUGCUGACGAGCGGCGGACGGGUGAGUAAUGCCUGGGAAUAUGCCCUGAUGUGGGGGAUAACUAUUGGAAACGAUAGCUAAUACCGCAUAAUCUCUUCGGAGCAAAGAGGGGGACCUUCGGGCCUCUCGCGUCAGGAUUAGCCCAGGUGGGAUUAGCUUGUUGGUGGGGUAAUGGCUCACCAAGGCAACGAUCCCUAGCUGGUCUGAGAGGAUGAUCAGCCACACUGGAACUGAGACACGGUCCAGACUCCUACGGGAGGCAGCAGUGGGGAAUAUUGCACAAUGGGGGAAACCCUGAUGCAGCCAUGCCGCGUGUAUGAAGAAGGCCUUCGGGUUGUAAAGUACUUUCAGUUGUGAGGAAGGCGUUGAUGUUAAUAGCUUCAGCGUUUGACGUUAGCAACAGAAGAAGCACCGGCUAACUCCGUGCCAGCAGCCGCGGUAAUACGGAGGGUGCGAGCGUUAAUCGGAAUUACUGGGCGUAAAGCGCAUGCAGGUGGUCUGUUAAGCAAGAUGUGAAAGCCCGGGGCUCAACCUCGGAACAGCAUUUUGAACUGGCAGACUAGAGUACUGUAGAGGGGGGUAGAAUUUCAGGUGUAGCGG
rnacentral:rRNA from 1 species